AGCAGCCGCGGUAAUUCCAGCUCCAAUAGCGUAUAUUAAAGUUGUUGCAGUUAAAAAGCUCGUAGUUGAAUUUCGGGAUCAACAUGUCGGUCGUGCCUCCGGUACGUACUGGCAUCGUUGAUUUCUACCUUCUGACGAACCAUGAUGUCAUUAAUUUGGUGUCAUGGGGAAUCAGGACCGUUACUUUGAAAAAAUUAGAGUGUUUAAAGCAGGCACACGCUUGAAUACAUUAGCAUGGAAUAAUGAAAUAGGACGUUUGACCCUAUUUUGUUGGUUUCUAGGAUCGACGUAAUGAUUAAUAGGGAUAGUUGGGGGCAUUAGUAUUCAAUUGUCAGAGGUGAAAUUCUUGGAUUUAUUGAAGACUAACUACUGCGAAAGCAUUUGCCAAGGAUGUUUUCAUUAAUCAAGAACGAAAGUUAGGGGAUCGAAGACGAUCAGAUACCGUCGUAGUCUUAACCAUAAACUAUGCCGACUAGGGAUCGGAUGAUGUUAAUUUUUUAAUGACUCAUUCGGCGUCCG
rnacentral:rRNA from 1 species